AAGUGGCCGUGGUGAAAGCAGGAAGAUUUACCUUUAAUUAGAAUUAUUAUUUUGAGUCCAGUGACUUUACUCAAAGCAAUUAACUGCAAGGAAUUGUUUCUCGCUUUUUCACCGAAUUCUAUAUUUAAUUUAUUGAAUUAAAGCUAAUAUUUGGCAGUGCUAAUUAGACUUUUGACACGAUAAUAAACCGUUCAAUCAUUUGGCUUGGGCGUGUG